rnacentral:rRNA from 1 species
GUAGGUGGCAAGCGUUGUCCGGAAUUAUUGGGCGUAAAGCGCGCGCAGGCGGUCCUUUAAGUCUGAUGUGAAAGCCCACGGGCUCAACCGUGGAGGGUCACUGGAAACUGGGGGACUUGAGUACAGAAGAGGAAAGCGGAAUUCCAAGUGUAGCGGUGAAAUGCGUAGAGAUUUGGAGGAACACCAGUGGCGAAGGCGGCUUUCUGGUCUGUAACUGACGCUGAGGCGCGAAAGCGUGGGGAGCAAACAGGAUUAGAUACCCUGGUAGUCCACGCCGUAAACGAUGAGUGCUAAGUGUUAGGGGGUUUCCGCCCCUUAGUGCUGCAGCUAACGCAUUAAGCACUCCGCCUGGGGAGUACGGCCGCAAAGGCUGA